rnacentral:rRNA from 1 species
UACGUAGGGCGCAAGCGUUGUCCGGAAUUAUUGGGCGUAAAGAGCUCGUAGGCGGUUUGUCGCGUCUGCUGUGAAAGCCCGGGGCUCAACCCCGGGUCUGCAGUGGGUACGGGCAGACUAGAGGUAGGUAGGGGAGAAUGGAAUUCCCGGUGUAGCGGUGAAAUGCGCAGAUAUCGGGAGGAACACCGGUGGCGAAGGCGGGUCUCUGGACAGUUCCUGACGCUGAGGCACGAAGGCCAGGGGAGCAAACGGG